rnacentral:lncRNA from 1 species
GAGCCAAAUGCAGUGCUUGCUUCCUAUCUGUGGUCCAUUGCAUAGCAGUGUGCUUGGGUGCUGCGUAAGACAAUUCCCCCCAACGCCUCCAAAAAAUAGGACAUGGUCCACUGCAGGAGUUCAUAAUCUAGGAGUCCAGAGAGUCCAGGCUCAUCAUCCCUUCAGCUACUCCAUGUGCUACUUUCUCUCGCAACUUUGAGCAAGAAUGUUAGAUCUUUUGCUGGGGGCCUUCGGAAGCCGUGAGGGAGCAUAUCCUGACACCCACAUAGAAGACCUGGUACCUAUGUUUCCACAUCACAAAGCAGGCCAACAAGCACACAAGGCCGCAGACCAAAUUAAGAAUCAUCUGGAUGAGUAAGAACAGUUUGAAAGUGCCAGUGACGCUGGUACAGUCCGUCACAUCCCGGUAAACAAAGGUCCUGCUGAGCGGCUCCGAGGAGGGCAGUUUGCACUGGCAAGAGUCGAGUGUGGUCUCACAGGUAAACUGUGUGAGCUGCGAAUAGUGGUGGGCGGCAAAGGCCACGGCCAGCACACAGACCGUCAGGCCCAGGGCACUCAGCAGAAAGUAUAACAGCUGCAAGAAAGCAGAAGAAAACCUUUCUGGUUACAAAGAACAUUGGAUGAUGAUUUGCAAAGCGAAUUCAUCAAAACUGUUCUUUUUCUUCCCUCCCAGAAAUUUUCUGAUGGAAAGGCUGUCUCUUCUUAGAAACACAACACCCAAGACAUGGAAAUAGCUCCAUGUUUAUUUAUUAGUGGGUAGUUCUUAAACCCUGAUCACAUUUUCACUUGCCAUCCAGAUGUUGGGCCCUUUUCAAGAGUUGUGACAACCAUAUUAGCUGGACUGUGGAAUGUUUUUGUCUAGAUAUUGCCAGCAGUUUAGAUGAAUCCCAAACAAGCUAGCCAUCCCUGGAUGACAUGUUGUGCUUAUUUUGAACUCAAGAACUUCUGAUAUUAAGACUGAAACAAGACUAGGAAGUAAAGAACAGGUUUUUGUAAUGCAAACACUGUGUGGGCCAAAAUUAGCAAUGAUGGGUCAACUAAUAGCAUAAGUUAAUUUUUUUAAAAGACUACAUUCAAUGUAGUGAUUGCCAAACUGUAUCCAUAAACAUGAGAAUCCCCAGUAGGAGGUUGCUGGGAGAAAAUAAAUUAUGGCUCCAGAAGUCAAGUGACUCAACGUCAGCUUCAUCGCCUGUGAAACUUACCCCAAGCCCAACAACGACCAUGUGAUUCCUGAGCCUGAAAAAACUCUAAAUGGUUCCUCAGUCACCAAGGUUUUGAACACUGUUGGCCUCCAGAUUAGCUUUGGGAUUGAAAAAGUCUGGUUAAAGUUCUCGCUCUGCUGCUACAGGGCUGUGGGAACUCUGAACAAUUUAGGGAUUUAGCUUACACCUAAAAUAUUCUGAGCAAAACUUGUGGGUGU